ensembl:lncRNA
GACUGGACUAGAGCAGCCAUGUCCAGCCCACGUGACUGAAUCUCUGCAGGAGACCACUUUUCUCUCCAGGAAGACUACAUCCUAGUCUGAAGACUUGGAAGCACCUCCAUGCUCUUCUGCAUCAUCACGCUAACAUCCUCCUCCUCCCUCUGUAUCCUUUCAUUCAACGUAACUGCUCCACUGGCCUCAGCUUAUUGUAAACUCUUUGGACAAGGAUGUGUAUUUGGACAGCAUCCAGCGUGGUGGGACCUUCUCUUCAAGCAUUGCCACUGUGAAAACAGUACACAAUAGC